CUCCUACUUAACGUUUUGAAAUAUUAUGAAAUGCAAAGAUUUUUUUUUUUUUUUACCACACAUAUUAGUUCAUCUCGUCAUUCUGACACUCCUAUGAGACUGACACAUGAGGAUUAAUCGUUUUUUAAAUCCCACAGCCUAAAAAGCUUUUUCCUUUGGGAGUGGAUAGCACUAUCCUAUUUUAGAGUUGCGGGGGUGGUGGGAAGGAGGGAUGAGGAGAGACGCCUGGGUGGCUCAGUCGGUUGAGCCUACGACUUUGGCUCAAGUCAGGAUCCAAAGGCCGCUUUAUUGGUAGUUUUGCCCAGAAUUCCAUUCAUCCUUUCCUCCUUGUGGACAAUGAGAACUGUUGGGUCUGCCCUUGGACAAAUCAAUCAACCGAAGAAACAUGUUUCUCUGUGGCCCAAAUGAUAUGAAGGUUAUGGUGAGAUAUCCUCAAGCAUCCACAACCUCAAGGAUCUUAUUUAUUUCAGGAAAUAAAUAAUACUGAGGAGAAGAUUUUUCUCGUUUCCUAUUGAGGAGGGUCAUUGAAAGAUGAAACUGCCAGUGGACCUGUGAGCUGGACCUGGGAGAUGGGAUGCUCCUCCCCCCUCCCCUGUUCUUGAAAUAUGGGUUCCACUUGCCUUUCUGGAUCCCAGAGGCUGCUGCAAGGACAUAGUCUUGAGAUAAUGAUGUGAUGUUGGGAACACCUGCACGGUGUAUGUGACUGAACUCUGUUAAUGCCUCUUGAUAAACUUUUAGGAUUUGGCAGGUGGGUGCGGGAUCCAUUCAUUUUGUGCCACACAGCACAAGCCUGGGUGUAAGUUCCAUUUGCUAUUAUUAAAACUACCACCUUACCAA